rnacentral:lncRNA from 1 species
CAGUGAUCCAUAACUUUGCUGGUAUCAGCAGACUGCAGUGGAAGUUACUGGAAAGGGGGCAGGAACAGAGCUGGAAUAAGGGAUAUGAUGCUGCUUUCCCUAACUAAACGGAAGCGGCUGUAAACACGCUUGCCCUAGAAGUCUAAGGACCAGGCAAACCCCAGGUCAAGGAGCACCGGGCUGUGAGCAACGGGUGGCAGCAGCGAGCCCGGCUGCAGUACCGGGCUGUGAACGGGCGAGGGCGCCAUUUCCCGUCUCGCCUCCUCCAGCCCCUUCCCCGGCCGCUGUGUUCGUGUCCGGCGCAUGCGCGGUGCUCGGUAGCAGCGUGGCGGCGGGUUGGCAGCGGAUUUCCUCUCGGCGGUGAUGGGUGAGAGCCGGAGCCGCGUGGCGCUGGGGACUCGGGGGCGCCGGUGAGGCGAGCGCGUCCCUCCGGGUGGCCGCGGCCGUCGAGGAUGUCUUUCGCCUGCUGGGGCCGUCGCUGCGUGGAGGCGGAGGUGCGGGGCAAGGGAGGGAGCUCGACCUCGGCUCCGCUCCGUGCCGGGAGCGCGGGCGGACUUUCCCUGUUCCGUGUGUCGCCUUUAGGGCCCCGGUUCCUCCCCAGCGUGGGCCGGGGCGUGCGCUCGCCCCUGCGGACGCGGCCCGGAGGAGCGGGGAGGCAGGCGGGCCCCGGAGCGGGCUUGUGGCGCGGCGUCCGCGGGCAGACGGCUCCUGUUGUGGCAGGCAGGCCCGAGAGUGCUGAUGUCUUUAGAAUCCAUUAGGAGAGACAGUGAGACCCAGCUGGGCAGGCCUGCAACCUGUUUGGCACUAGCAUUGCUAGAUGGUGAUGUGGCUCCUGCUGGCUUCACGCUGCGCUGGGAUCAUCUUUGGCACAUGUAAUGGGACCACAGUGAUCCCAGAGAACCAAACCACCCCAAACCCUGUCCCAGGAUCUCCAUACCUUGUCUUAAGGCUCCCACUAAUCCGAUGUGUUGUGUGAGUAUUAGCAGUAGGUAAUAACAGCUUAGUUUUAUUAACAGUAGCAGAUUAAUUUACAAAAAGUGUUCUAAUAAAUAUCGGCUGUGAUCUGCA